UCUGUUGCCCUCAACUGCAUGUGGGAAAAGGUCUGUACAUGGCUGAUUCCUGAAGAAUAUCUAUUUAUGUGGUCACUAGAGUUGACACCAACCAUGGUUGACAUGUAUAUCAGUGGAGAAGUAUCUUUCCAUCCAUUAUGGAUUAUAAAGAUUGCAUGAUAAAAGAUGUAUCUCCUUACCUCUGCCAUCAGCCAGACACCGAUUGUAUCCCACAGGGCUGAAGUACUCAAAGACAAAGACAGCCACCGCAGAGAUUAUAAGCAGCAUUACAAACAUCAUCACCCACACAUCAGCACUGAAUGGCUCUGGACAGAAAAGGACAGAUUUGGAAUAAGUCUCUGGAUUUCUCACAAUAAAUAUCUUGAUAUAUAA